rnacentral:rRNA from 1 species
UACGGGGGGGGCAAGCGUUGUUCGGAAUUACUGGGCGUAAAGGGCUCGUAGGCGGCCAACUAAGUCGGAUGUGAAAUCCCCAGGCUUAACCUGGGAACUGCAUCCGAUACUGGAUGGCUUGAAUCCGGGAGAGGGAUGCAGAAUUCCAGGUGUAGCGGUGAAAUGCGUAGAUAUCGGGAGGAACACCAGUAGCGAAGGCGGCUCGCUGGGCCACACCUGACGCUGAGACGCGAAAGCGUGGGGAGCAAACAGG